rnacentral:lncRNA from 1 species
UAAGUCGUCGUGUCAGGGAGGAGGACGAGCACGUCCGUCGCUACAUGGAGGCGUUGGACGCCAGGUUCUCCAAUACCUGGCAGGUUCUUGAGGGAUCUCACCCGAGCUAUGAUCCGGUAAUGGUUCCUGCUCUUUGGGUGUCCACCGCCCGCGCCUAAGUAUAUCGGCAGCUCUUUGUUGGUUGAUCAGUUAGAUAUUAUUCCAUGAUGCAUUAAUUAAGUGAUGUAUUUGAGAUUAUAUAUUCUAGUUUAAAUGUCAUUAUCAUGCUUGAUUAAUUAUUACCUGAUUGAAUUCUAUUCUCGUAAUUAAAGUGCCUGAGGCAGGCGCCUUGGGAUAAUUUAUAUGCAUACUAAGUUUGUGAGAACAAUAGCAUGAUGACGUCCGAAAGAUCCAAAAGUGAUAGACAACUUUGGGUAAGUUUCUCAAAACACUAUUCACAAUUCUUUUUAUCAUGAUCUAAUAUAUAUACACACAACUUAUAUAUUCAUAUGGAUCUUCUUUUUUAGUAAAGAUGAAAGGCAUGCGGGAUCAGCUCCUACCAACGGAUCGCGUACGAGCAAUUCAAGAGGAAAUAGCGGGAUUUUUGCUCGACCAGCUGGUCAUAGAUCCCAAAUGAGAAUACCAUUACAAGCUGUAAUGCUUCCAUGUAAUGAUCUGCAAAUUGUAGGAGAAAUUGUAUACAUAUGUGUGUGUGUGAAUGGUCGUGCGAGAAAUUCGAUGAUAUAUAUAUAAUCGGUU